AUUUCGGUGGUGUAGUGGUAGCACGCGUCCGCGCUAUGGACGAAACGCCGGUUUGACUCCCGUCUGAGGUC